rnacentral:rRNA from 1 species
AUUGAACGCUGGCGGCAUGCCUUACACAUGCAAGUCGAACGGUAACGGCCUUCGGGUGCCGACGAGUGGCGAACGGUGAGUAAUGCAUCGGAACGUACCUUUCAGUGGGGGAUAACGUAGCGAAAGUUACGCUAAUACCGCAUAUUCUGUGAGCAGGAAAGCAGGGGAUCGCAAGACCUUGCGCUGAUUGAGCGGCCGAUGUCAGAUUAGCUAGUUGGUGAGGUAAAGGCUCACCAAGGCGACGAUCUGUAGCGGGUCUGAGAGGAUGAUCCGCCACACUGGAACUGAGACACGGUCCAGACUCCUACGGGAGGCAGCAGUGGGGAAUUUUGGACAAUGGGGGCAACCCUGAUCCAGCCAUGCCGCGUGAGUGAAGAAGGCCUCGG